CGUCUUUGAAUGCCUACUUUCAAAGACAUUGUUGAGGUAAGCACCGUCUUUGAAAGUACGCAUUCUAAGAUGGUGCUUACCUCAACAACGUCUUUGAAAGUAGGCAUUCUAAGACG
rnacentral:pre_miRNA from 1 species